AAUAUAGUAGUGUAAUCACAUCAUUAUUUCAUGAUGAAAAUGUAUUCCUUUUUAUCU
rnacentral:tRNA from 1 species